UACGAACCGUGCGAGCGUUGUUCGGAAUCACUGGGCUUAAAGGGCGCGUAGGCGGAUCAUCAAGUCCGGGGUGAAAUCUUUCGGCUUAACCGGAAAAGUGCCUUGGAUACUGGUGGUCUCGAGUGAGGUAGGGGCAUGUGGAACUUCUGGUGGAGCGGUGAAAUGCGUUGAUAUCAGAAGGAACUCCGGUGGCGAAAGCGACGUGCUGGACCUCUUCUGACGCUGAGGCGCGAAAGCUAGGGGAGCAAACAGG
rnacentral:rRNA from 1 species